rnacentral:rRNA from 1 species
AAUCAACGUUGGCGGCGCGCCUAACACAUGCAAGUCGAACGAGAAAGUGGAGCAAUCCAUGAGUAAAGUGGCGUACGGGUGAGUAACACGUGGGUAAUCUACCUCUUGGUGGGGAAUAACGCUGGGAAACUGGCGCUAAUACCGCAUAAGUUCGUAAGAAGAAAGUCGCAAGACGCCGAGAGAGGAGCCCGCGGCCGAUUAGCUAGUUGGUAGGGUAAAAGCCUACCAAGGCUAUGAUCGGUAGCCGGCCUGAGAGGGCACACGGCCACACUGGCACUGAAACACGGGCCAGACUCCUACGGGAGGCAGCAGUGGGGAAUCUUGCACAAUGGGGGAAACCCUGAUGCAGCGACGCCGCGUGAGUGAUGAAGCCCUUCGGGGUGUAAAGCUCUUUCGACAGGAACGAUAAUGACGGUACCUGGAGAAGAAGCUGCGGCUAACUACGUGCCAGCAGCCGCGGUAAU